ensembl:lncRNA
CUGUGCGCCAGGCGGCUCUCUCUCCUCGGCAGCGGCAGGUAGGGAGGCGAGCCCAGACAGCGGGGAAGGGGAGUGGGGACUAGAGGACCGGGGAUAGUCACUGACAGCAGCAGUUACGUUCAGAUUAACAGAACUGGGUGAUUUUCGAUGAGUGGCUGGACAAGAUUUUUAAUAAGAAACCCUGUCGUCGGCUACGGUUCAUGACCAUCCUUAGGUUUUCCUCUGAGCUCUCUAGUCACGGACACGAAUACUGGAUAUAAUUGUGGAACCACCACGACGUUGAUGAACAGGACAUUCUUCCUACCAACUCCCUCGUCCUGUCCCCCUCCCAGACGUUGAUGAACAGGACAUUCUUCCUACCAACUCCCUCGUCCUGUCCCCC